GGGAGGGGGAGAGCCCAACUGGCACGACUGAUCCCCCGAGUCAACGCGUUCCUCGCACGAAAACAAAUAGUCCCCCGAGUUAUCGAUUCGAACGAAACCGAUGGAGAUCUCACUCUCUUCGUGUUGAUGAAGUCCGACUAUUGAAUCGAAGAAGUAUCGCGUUACGAAUGGUAAAAAAAUUACAUUCUUGCUCUCGUUGUUAAAAACGUUGCUUAAAAACCAUGAUAAAAAAAGAAGAAAAGAAAAAAAGCACAGUAAAAAUAUACACCGCUCGUGACUAGGCGAGGGUUAAACAGUUAUUGGUUGUGUGGUGGAACAGCACAGUAUAAAUAUCACAAUUAAUUGACCACUUCACUUGAUGAAAGUGUCAGGGUUCAAAAGCUUUAGAUUCACUUUUGUCGUUAAGCGUCACCGCCUCGAUUGUAACAAAAAACUUGCUGAAUCUGCAGUUCCCCGUCGAACCGGAUAACAUUUCUCUACGAUACAGAUAUACAUCGUCCAACAAAUCUAUCUCCUUUGUAUAUUUACCUCCCUAAAAAUUAACGAUAGCGACGAGAUACGUACAUUGUCGAACGUGUUUCUCACUUUCACGGCGGGCGCCUCUAUGCGAGUUCAGGUGUCACUUUGGUUAUUUGCGAGCAUUGCGUGCGCAUGAUUAUCAGCGGCGUUCUAUUUCGGUCAUAUAAUUGUUUAAACGCUUGCAUCAAAUUUCUUGCCACCUUGUUUUUACAAAUUGAAACGAGAGAUGUAAACACGUCUCCGCAAGGACAUGCAACAUAACCGUGCCCGGAGAUAAACCUAACCUAAAACUAACAAUAAGUGGCGAGAGAAAAAUGUCUGAAGUUAAAGAGAAAAAAAGGACAACGUGAAAGCGGCCUUGAAAAUGUUGCUCGAAGAGAAAACGACUAUAAGGCAAGUCGUUCGAGCUUUCCACGUUCUAAGAAAAAAAAAACAUCGAUUAGUUUGCUUGUUGAUAUUUGUAAAGAUAUUUAAAUAAAACGUUUGUCACGUUAUUAAUUAUAUAGAUCUUAAAAUCUAUUAUUUAAGUAGGUGUCCGGUACUGGACGAUAAUUUUUUAUAACAAGUUGCGAAUCAAGACUUUUUUUAUUUAUGCAAAUUAUUAAUUCUUACGAUAAAAUUUAAGAAAAACUUUGUACCUUUUUACUUUAAAUGUCAUUUUUAUUACGAACUUCCUUUCCUUUUAAAGUUUGAUUUUUAUCAAGAAGUUGGCCAAGUUAUAAUAGAAAAACUCUCAAGGUGUCUGGUUCUGUACGACUCUUCCCUAUAGGAAAAAGUUGCAAAAAUCAUUGAAAUAACUAUCAAAUUUUUGUAUAUAUUAUAUAUAUUAUUCUCUAACUUUUAUCAGUCGAGAAGAAUAUUUUGCGAAUUUUAUGAAUUUCAUUCUGUAUCUCUAAACUAUAUUUUGCGUUUGUAUUUAACUUUUGUCAUCAGAAUGCCUACAAAAAGCGAGGAGCCUUGUUAAAUGUAACGAAAGCGACAGUUGAAGCGAUAUUACUGCAAAAUGUCCUAGAUCAGAACGAUUGGCGAAUGAUUUCAAUGACGAGAACGACGAUAACAAUUUUGACGAAUAGUUAAAACGCAAUUAAUGGAAUUUUAGAAAGGUCACUGGCCUCCCGAACAGCUGUGAAAAGUGCACGCGUGAAACGAAAGUCCCGCCGUCGAGCAAUUCUCAUUCACUGGAAUAAAUUAGGAGUAUCUAAACUCUGAAAAGUAAAAGUAAAUAUAAGCUUU